rnacentral:lncRNA from 1 species
UAUGAUAACUUUUUUCCACACCACCGCAACCGCUCUGGGCUCCACGUGAAUCCACCGAGCUUCCUGUCUAAUUAAGGAGAUAUAAGUGAGUGUAAGGGGAGAGAAUAUUAAGGUUUCAAUUUUAAAAAAAAAUCAAAAAAUUAUUAAAAUAAAAAAUAAAUUGAGUGACCAAUAUAGUUUUAAAAAAUUAUUAUCAAAGGUCUAGGUUGACUGAGCUGGACUUGGACCCAUGAAGUUGGCCCAGGUCUGAGCCGGGUCCGGGUCUAAAAGGACCCAUCCCAGACCCAUAAAAAAUCCGGGUCCGGGUCCAAAAAAUGAAUUUUUUAUUUACCUAAAAAAUUCAAUAAACAAUUAAAUAUACAAUUCUCCACUUCUUCAACAACAAAUGGAUGUUGGCCUCUCUCAAUCUGGACUUGCUGACAUUAAUUUCGAAAAAUCGGAUGCCGGAGAGUCUUGAGGACUAUCGUCCAAUCACUUGUCUGAGAGUAAUUUACAAGGUGUUCUCCAAAAUACUCGCCUCCAGACUAUCAAUCAUCCUGCCGAACAUCAUCAGCCCAAACCAGACCGUAUUUGUGAAGGGGAGAUCGACGGAUCGAUCACUGAUGCGAUUAGGCUCGCUCAGGAGUUCACUCAAUCCUUUAACUGUCAGAGCACGGCGAGAAGGGCUUGUGUAACGAUCGACUUCUCCAAGGUGUUUGAUACGCUCAGAUGGGACGCAAUCGAUACAGUAAUCGAGCAAUUGGGGAUAGACGACGCAUUCCGACGACUGAUAAUGACAUUUGUUACAUCUGCGUCGGUCUCGGCAUUAGUCAAGGGAUCUCCAACGAGAUUUGGGGAAACUAGAAAGAAGUUGCCUGGAGCAAUAUGACGAAAACAAAGCAGCAAGGUGGGCUGGGGGUUCGUGACUACAGGAUGACGCAGAUGGCUGCAAUUGUGGACAGAGCGUGCCGACUAUGGGAUGGAGAGGGUAUAUGGAGUGUGUGGAUGCGAAGAAGGUAUGUGAGGGAGCGUCCUCUAAGCUUAAUUGAACCAAAGCAUAACGAUUCCUCGGCGUGGAAAACAACUCUUCGACACCGAGCACAAAUUGCGAAAUGUGCGCAAUUGGGCUAGGGAGGGGGGAAUUCAAUCAAAAAUGCGAUAGCUACAUUACGCCCUCAAUUGCCCAAGGACGACUUGGCCAGAGGGAUCUGGGCUAUUAAAGUUGGGAAGGUGUCGCUAAAUCUGUGGAGGAUACGCUGGGGGAAUUUGCCUACGAAGGAUAGGCUCAUUGCACGGGGAAUGACAAUGACUGGAAUGUGCGAAUUAUGUAACAAAGAGCUGGAGACGAUGGAUCAUCUGUUCUUUGGGUGCGACUACACCAAAUGGGUGCUCAGGGAAGCCGCAGACUCACUGGUAAAAUUUGAUAUGGUCAACUUGUUCAAAGAAGCGACACUGGAAUUGAAUAAAAUCACAAUUAGAUCACCGGCCUGGGGGCUCAACUGGACAUUAUUCGGAGUAGUGCACUUCCAUAUCUGGAAGGAGCGGAACCAUCGAAGGGUGCAUGGGAAGUCUGGACCAAAGCAUGACCUGCUCCGGCGACGUAUUACGAUGGCGGAGAUCAGCUUCGAUGAGCGGAAAUACAAGUGUAGAUCGAGGAAUGGCAAGGAACACAUAGCGUUGCUGCAAUGGGAUGCUCUAAUGCUGCUCAUCCAUGACAAGGAUGGCAGGGGUUAGCGCUGGCUAGCCGCCGGGCAAAUAGGUAGAAAAUUAAUUAGUUUAGCUUAUUAACCUUAAACGAUAUUUAAACCUCUUUUAAAUUAAUACCAAAGUAAACUUAUCAAAAAAUAAAUUAAAUAUAUAAUAAAAUAAAAUAAUUAAAUAUACUAUAAAAUAUAAAUGGUGUAUUUAUAUUUCACCCGUUACUACUAUAUAUUAAAAUAUUUAUAUUUAAACCUUAACUUACUAAUAUAUUAUAAAAUAUUUAUCUAACAUUUAUAAUAUCCGGGUCCGUGUCCAGUCGGGUCUGGCUAAUCUGGACUCGGAUCCAUUUACAACCCUAGUUCCAAGUAAGAAUGCUCCUUUAGUUCUUGGUUUUUUUUUUAAAUAGAUGCAUGCUCUAGACAAUGAAAUUUAUAAAUUAUGAAUAAUGUCAAUGAAUUUUUAUUUUUCUUUAGAUUGAAUGUAUUAUAAAUUGAAUAAAUUUGUAUUUUUCUUUAGAUUGAAUAUAUUAUAAAUUGCAAGGUUUCCUAUGCAUUUAUACGUUAAUGCGAUGACUAAAUAAACAUAUAAGUAUAUGCAACCUGUUAUAUUUACAUGUCUAGAAAAGGAUAAAAAAUCAGAAUAGAAAAGGAUAAAAAAGAAGAAUGGAGAAUAAACUAAAACGUUUGGACAGCAGCAAGGGGGUCGACGGCAGUGGGCAGUAUGCGUUUAUGCAGCAGCAAGGGGGACAACAGUGGGCAGUAUGCGUUUGGAUAAUAGCAAGGGGGGCGGCAGUGGGCAGUCGUGUGAAAUUUGGGAGUAAAAAAAACCUAUGCAUCUUUUACUCCCAAAAUACUUAAAUACCCCUUUUUAAUUAUUUUAAAUUGGCAAAACCCGUUGGGCGCCCAAUUAGACAACCCGACCCAGAUCCGCCUAACACAUACAUCAGUCAUGCGAUGGUCUGGAAAGACACAUGGUCGUUUAUGCGGCGCAAAAACGUCGCAUAAACGACGCAUAGGAAACCUUGAUAAAUUGAAUGGUUGUGAAUGAAUUGAAUGUAUUAUAAAUUAUGUAUUAUGAAUGUAUAUUUUCAUGUAGAAAAGUGGAUGUGUAAGGCUCCUAAAGAGCACCCAUUCAAGUUUUGACAAAAAAAAUUGUCGAUAUAAUAAAUUAGCGACAGCAAGUUGAGACAUGAACUAAUUAAAAAUAAUAAUUACGGCGGCUUAGAGACGGCAAGUUGACACAGAAACUAAUUAAAAAAAUGAUUAGGAACGACAAGUUGAGACAAGAACUAAUUAAAAAAAUUAUUGAAACGACAAGUUGAGACAAGAAUUAAUUAAAAAAUUAUUGGGAACGGAUUAAGGACGGAAAUUUAAAAAUUUAGAAACGAUUUAAGGACGGAAAUAAUAAUCCGAAAAUUAAAUUUUUGACGCGAAAAAAAUAAAUAGAGACAGUUUAGGGUGUGAGUUAAAAAUAUUUAGGAACGGAAAUAAAAAUUUAGGCGCCAAAAUAUUCACGCGGAAAAUAAUUAGGGACGAAUUAAAGACGAUUUAACCCUAACCCUUAAUUAACGACGGACAAUGCCAUUCCUAAGCAACCCCUAAUUUUUAGGGACGGAAAUCAAGACCGUCUCUAGAAAGUCAACGAGACGACUUACGGGGACGGGUUGGGGACAACCAUUUCUUGUCUCUAAGUGUCAAUUAGCGACGGUUUUUGGUCAUUAAGGACGACACCUGUAGUGUAAGUCAUUUUUCUUGUAGUGUAAGUUUAGAUGAUAAACUGUAAUGUCAACAGUAGAAAAAUCUACAUGAUAAAAUUUCGUUAAAUUCAGUACAUUUAUUUUAUCAUAAAAACGAAAUUCAUUAUCCGACGUUAAACAACUCAUGCAUUGAAUUACAUCCAUAUUUGAUGUUACAAAAUUAAUGAUCAUUCAACUUUUUCAACUACUUGUCAAUAACUAGAUAAAACAAUUCAGCACGAUGUCGAUGAAUAUUUGUUAAUUACCUUCUGAAGUAAACGUACGUCUUGAUCUACUAGGGGGAUGAAUGAAGGUGAGAGGUGUGGAGUUGUGGAGAGUGGAGUCAAAAAAUAAAAAUAAAAUGAAUAGAUGGAGUACGAGGAGGAAGAGGAAAAGGAGGAGAAAAGAGAAAGAACGAAAUUUUUAAAUCCUUAGAUAUAGAUAGAUAUAAAUGAACAACUAUGGGUAAUUGAGGUAUAAAUAUAAUAAUAAAUUAAUUAUUAAUAAGAUAAUGAUUGAUAAACAAAAUAUUUUUAAAAUGUUUAGUAUUAUUUAGUAAUAUUUUAAAAAUUUAAUGUUUAUAAAAAUAAAAUAUCUAGUAUUAUAAUAUUUAUAUAUUUUAAAUGGUGGGUGAGAAGGUGCGGGGCGGUCCCUUCACUGGAAAACAGGGCGAGGAAUGAGACGGGUCAGGUACUCUACCUCCCUAACCCGAGACCCACCUCGGACCCGGGGCGACCCGCCUGAAAUUAAAAAAAAAAGUAAACCUAAAAUUGAAAAUGGGUAACUUUUUACCCUAAUUUUUAAAAAAUUUAACCUUAAUAAUCUUAUAUCUAAUAUAAUAUAAUAAUAUUUUUAAAAAAAUUAAAAAUUAUUUUGCAAAAAAAACCGGGGCGACCCGCCCGGGUUUUGCCCUGCUCCGAGACCCACCCCGGAAUAUGACCGGGGCAGCGGGGCAAAAAAUUAAAAAUGGGGCAGAUAUUCUGCCCCGUCCCCGGUUACCACCGGGUGGGGGGCUCAAGCCCUUACAUUCGCCACUGCGUCAAUCGAUCUUUUAUAGAAUCUUUUCUGUCUAGGCAUUAUCCUAUAAAUGAUAGAAGAAAGACUUUAAUGGUACGUGACGAAGCACGGAAUCUGCUAUCAGGGGGCUCGUGGGGUUACGAGAAGGGCCGAAGGCUCUGGAGUCCACGACGUGCGCUCUACGUCAAAUCCUGUCAGAAGAGAAUAGGCGAUUCUGGUGUGGGAAUCGGCGAUUCUCUCUGUAUUGCUUUAGUUGUGAUGGAACUUCUAUUCUGCCUUGGAGUGACCCCUUGGGACCCUUUUUAUAGGGUUUUUGGGGGUGCACUCCGCGGCGGGCAUCGCGCCUAAUGUCAUAACGGGGUACAUUAAUGACCCAUUAUGAUGCAAACUGACAACGAGUAACGGACGUAAAUCGACGAUUCAGGUAUGGAAUCACCUAUUUAGUAACAAACUCGGCGAGUUCUGAGGGGCGAGAUCGGAAGUCUACCAUACUGACUAUCUGUGCCCUAACUCAGCGAUUUACCACUAAAGUCGGCGAUUUCUUCAGAUUAAACUAACCUUAUGGGCCUUGAGAUAUGAGCCUUGAACUAUCUAUUUAACUAAAUAGAGGAUUAGAAGAUAAAUGACAAAUAACUUCAAUAAGCUUCAAUAAAUAUCGUCACUAUUUAUAGAAGAAAAAAAGAUAUUUAGCGAUGAUAUAUUCAUAUCGUCACUAACAUCGCGCGUUUUCUUCAAAAUCCUUGAUGAAAUUUAACGACGAUCGAAAUUCGUCGCAAAAAUCGUCGUUGUAGACCUCUUUUCUUGUAGUGGUGUAUAAAAUGAAGAUGGACGUCAUUUGAAUCUAACACUCAUUCAUUGGUAAAAAUAAUAUUUAAUAUCUAAUUUUUUUAACUUGGAUUUCAACUAAUUCAAUUUUUCAUGAUCCGAUGUUUCAAAUUAGGUCGCCGACAAUCCAACGGCGAAUCCAGAAUUUUUUUUCUCCAGGGGGCUAAUUUUAAAUCAUUUAAAUAAAUUCAGAAAUAUUUUUUUUUAAUCCAAUUGUUUUCGACGAGGUGUCAUAUUUUCAUACAGAUACAUAAUAUCAUCAUUACUAACACUAAAAAAUAAAUAUUUUUUAACAUAUGUUAAUAGAAUAUAUAUCAGUCAUUCAAGUAUCAUCCAUACGAUUGCGAGAACUUAAUUUCACAAGAUUUAUUAAUGAAAAGGAUUUUUCCACUGAAACAGUCACAACUGGUAAUGUGAGUGUUAAUUUUAACAAACGAAACACCGAAGAAAAUACGAUAUCUUUUCUUUUCUCAAUUAACUUUACAGUUAACUCUCCAAUUUCAUUUAAAUUCGAAUGUUUUUCGUUAUUACGUACAUGAAAAAUGUAUUAUAGCAGUUAAUCUUCAAAAACUCUAAUGUCAACAGUAGAAAAAUUUACAUAAUAAAAUUUUGUUAAAUUUCAUACCUUUGUUUUAUCAUAAAAACGAAAUUCAUUAUCCGACGUCAAACAAUUAACUCAUGCAUUGAAUUAGAUCCAUAUUUGAUGUUACAAAAUAAUUAUUCAACUAUUUCAUCUGCUUGUCAAUAGCUAGAUAAAACAAUUCAGCACGAUGUGUCGAUGUCAAUGAAUAUUUGUUACCUUCUGAAGUAAACGUACGUCUUGAUGUACUAGGAGGGAUGAAUAACGGUGGGAGGUGUGAAAUUGUGGAAAGUGGAGUCAAAAAAUAAAAAUAAAAUGAAUAGAUGGAAACCGAGGAGGAAGAGGAGGAGGAAGAGGAGGAGAAAGAGAAAGAACGAAAUUUUUAAAUCCUUAUAUAUAUUAUAUAUAUGAACAACUAUGGAUAAUUGAGGUAUAAAUAUAGUAAUAAAUUAAUUAUUAAUAGGAUAAUAGUUUAUAAACAAAAUAUUUUAAAAUAUUUAGUAUUAUUUAGUAAUAUUUAAAAAAAUUAAAGUUUAUAAAAAUAAAAUAUUUAAUAUCAUUAUGUUUAUAUAUUUUAAAUGGUCGGUGGGGUAUAGUUAAGGGUGAUAACGGGGUGUGGGCGGGCGCGGACCCUUCCCAGUAUCUGUCCUAUUCUGGAAAAACGGGGGGCGGAACGAGGCAGGUCAGGUACUCUACCUCCCUGCCUCGGGUCCGGUGACCGAGGCGGAUCCGGGGCGACCUGCCUGAAAUUUAAAAAAUUAUAUAAAAAAAGUAAACCUAAAAUUUAAAAUGGGUAAACUCUUUACCCUAAUUCUUAACAUUUUUAAUCUUAAUAAUCCUAUAUCUAAUAUAAUAUAUUUUAAUUUAAAAAAAAUCAAAAAUUAUUUUUCAAAAAAAAACCAGGGCGACCUGCCCGGGUCUUGCCCUGCCUCUAGAUCCGCCUUGGAAUAUGACCGGGCAGCGGGGCAAAAAAUUAAAAACGGGGCAGAUAUUCUGCCCCAUUCCCGGUUAAAUGUAUACAGAAUCUUUUACACCCACUGCAUCAAUCGAUCUUUUACAGAAUCUUUUCUGUCUACGCAUUAUCCUAUAAAUGUAUAUUUUUCAAACGGAGAAACCAAAGAGAGAGAAGGAGAACUAGAGAGAUUCCGUACCGAGUCCAGGGGAUCUUGGAGUUCCACUGCCACCCGGGGUCGGAGACGACUCCAUGGGAGCUACAUAAGUCGAAUCCGAAGAUUCCAUGGUGAGAGUUGAGAGAAGGGAAGUAGAAAUGAAAAGAGGGAAUAUUAAGCGGAAACAGAAGCAGAACAAAGGUCACGCCAUCCCUCCCGUUCUUUCUUUAACGGGAUAACGUGGUUCUGAAUUUUUUUUUCUUUUAUUUUUUUCCUCUGUAAAAUCAAUUCAGUCCCUGUCAAUUUGUCAAAUGACAAACAAUUACGUUGCACUCAACCACAAUUUGUCAAAGCCUAAAGCUAAAUGUAGCUUUAAUAUAAAUAAAU